rnacentral:lncRNA from 1 species
AAGGGAUUUAGCUUUAAAUCAGUUUGUUUGCUCUAGUGUUUUAUUAGCAUAUCCUGUUUUAGUUUUUCAGAGCUGGCUUCAGACAUCUGGCCCCCUUCUUGUGUUCCAUGCCACAUCAUAAUGUUGUGCUGUGACCAUACUGUUCAGUAGACACCAACAUGUCACACUGCUUUGCACACACAUUGCUCUGUGUGAGCAAAAGAGAAUGAUGCCUUAUGGAAGCCUAUUCAAAUCCCUGACGCUGGAACCUUUAUCCAGGCACUAG